GAAUUCGAUUAACGCGAAGAACCUUACCUGGGCUUGACAUGCUGGUGCAAGCCGGUGGAAACAUCGGCCCCUCUUCGGAGCGCCAGCACAGGUGCUGCAUGGCUGUCGUCAGCUCGUGUCGUGAGAUGUUGGGUUAAGUCCCGCAACGAGCGCAACUCUCGCUCCCAGUUGCCAGCGGUUCGGCCGGGGACUCUGGGGGGACUGCCGGCGUUAAGCCGGAGGAAGGUGGGGACGACGUCAAGUCAUCAUGGCCCUUACGUCCAGGGCGACACACGUGCUACAAUGCCUGGUACAGCGCGUCGCGAACUCGCAAGAGGGAGCCAAUCGCCUAAAGCCGGGCUAAGUUCGGAUUGUCGUCUGCAACUCGACGGCAUGAAGCCGGAAUCGCUAGUAAUCGCGGAUCAGCCACGCCGCGGUGAAUACGUUCCCGGGCCUUGUCACACCGAAUCACUA
rnacentral:rRNA from 1 species